AGCAGCUAGGUGUACACUUUUUUCUCCUAUAAAUACAGGCCGUUGGUAGUCUAUUAUAGACCAUCCUCCAACUACUUAUGAUUUGGAUCAGGAAGGGAAGAGAAACACUAUGGAAGAUGGGUAAGUUUGCAAAUGAUGAAAGGUCUAAUUUUGUCUGGGGUCAUGCCCUUUUCCUUUGGCAAACCAAUUUCAUAGGUGCCAAUUGCAUGAUGGAAUCUUCCCCAUGUGGUUUGUUCAAGUGUCAUUUAUUUCUUUCAUCUCAAAGUGCUAAAAUUGGGUCAUUUAGAACUCCUUUUACAUUAUCUUACUUGAAACUCUUACACUAAUCUUGAAACAUACAUGAAAAUUAAUGUAGAUUUAUAUCGGAAAAUUAAUCUGGAGAAGUGGUGAUAGGCUCAAACCCCAUUUAUGAAGAAGGGAAGUACCUUUCUUUUCUACUCCAAGAAGAGAGGAAGUCUGACAGAAUUCUGAUUCUAUGCUAUAAAGUGAUUCCUAAAGGAGGAGGUACCACUUGCAAGUGAGAGAAGGGCCAUUUUGGGUCAUUUUGCAUCUUGAAAUUUGUGGAGAAGGGAAAUCUACAAAGAAGAUCAAGAAAUAUAUGGCUGUGUCUAGUUGACCAUAACCAAGUUAAGCCUCAAUCAAUAUCAUUAGGAAUUAUAUUUCUUAAAGAUGCUUAUUUGCAAUGGCAUAUAUUAUGCUUUUCAAGAAUAUAUAAGUUACACCUUUUAUUCAAAAUAUGGUUCUGACUUGAGUUCGCCAAAAACACCAGAAUGUUUGAUUCGAAAUUUUUUAUCAUAUAGAGAGCACCAUUAUGACUACCAAAGUUCCUAAAAGUUUGUCUUUUGUCA